rnacentral:tRNA from 1 species
GGCUCUUUAGCUCAGUUGGUUAGAGCACGGGAAUCAUAAUCCCGGUGUCCCCAGUUCGAGUCUGGGAAGAGCCACCA